AAAGUGGAAUGAAGCCAAGGAUGACUUGCAGGCAUUAAUUUGCUAUUAAGCUAGCAAGUUAGGUAGUUUCAUUUGUUGGAUUUUCCCGGCAAGUGAUCCUGUGGUUAUAUUUGGCUUUCU
rfam:Glycine soja cultivar W05 scaffold628_21, whole genome shotgun sequence.